UUGGCCUAGUGGUUAAGGUGCCCGUGUUCCACAUUGGAGUACCUGGGUUCAAUUCCCAGA
rnacentral:tRNA from 1 species